rnacentral:tRNA from 1 species
GUUUAAAUAGCUUAAAAAGAGCAUGAUAUUGAAGAUAUCCAGGUGAUCUAUUGAUCUUUAAAUA